CUAUGGUCUGAAGUGUGGUGUGUUCAGUUCAAUUCCCCUUACACACUAACAUGUCGAUGCAGCUAUAGGGGGUGUCAAUCCAGUCCACUGUUAUUGCUAGCAAUUAAGAUGCAUACAGAAGCAAC
rnacentral:sRNA from 1 species